rnacentral:rRNA from 1 species
GACGAACGCUGGCGGCGUGCUUAACACAUGCAAGUCGAACGGAAAGGCCCCCUUGUGGGGUACUCGAGGGGCGAACGGGUGGGGAACACGUGAGUAACCUACCCUCCACUUUGGGAUGACUUCAUGAAACUAGUGCGAAUACCGGAUAGGAGCUCCUGCUGCAUGGUGGGGGUUGGAAGGUUUCGGCGGUUGGGGGUGGACUCGCGGCUUAUCAGCUUGUUGGUGGGGUAGUGGCUCACCAAGGCUUUGACGGGUAGCCGGCCUGAGAGGGUGACCGGCCACAUUGGGACUGAGAUACGGCCCAGACUCCUACGGGAGGCAGCAGUGGGGAAUAUUGCACAAUGGGCGGAAGCCUGAUGCAGCAACGCCGCGUGCGGGAUGACGGCCUUCGGGUUGUAAACCGCUUUCGCCUGUGACGAAGCGUGAGUGACGGUAAUGGGUAAAGAAGCACCGGCUAACUACGUG